rnacentral:rRNA from 1 species
GACGAACGCUGGCGGCGUGCUUAACACAUGCAAGUCGAACGGAAAGGCCCUGCUUUUGUGGGGUGCUCGAGAGGCGAACGGGUGAGUAAAACGUGAGUAACAUGUACUUGUCUUUGGGAUAACUUCAGGAAACUGGGGCUAAUACCGGAUAGGAGCUCCUGCUGCAUGGUGGGGGUUGGAAAGAGUCGGCGGUUGGGGAUGGACUCGAUGGUUAUCAGCUUGUUGGUGGGGUAGGGGAUUACAAAGGCUUUGACGGGUAGCCGGCCUAAGAGGGGUACCGGCGACAUUGGUACUGAGGUACGGCGCAGACGCCUACGGGCCGCAGCAGGCGGGAAUCUUGCAGAACGGGCGCAAGCCUGUUGCAGCAACGCCGCGUGCGGGAUGACCGCUUUCGGGUUGUAAACCGCUUUCUCCGUUGCCGAAGCGAGCGUGACGGUAAUGGGUCAAGAAGCACCGGCUAACUACGUG